GAUGAACGCUGGCGGCGUGCCUAAUACAUGCAAGUCGAGCGAACAGACGAGGAGCUUGCUCCUCUGACGUUAGCGGCGGACGGGUGAGUAACACGUGGAUAACCUACCUAUAAGACUGGGAUAACUUCGGGAAACCGGAGCUAAUACCGGAUAAUAUAUUGAACCGCAUGGUUCAAUAGUGAAAGACGGUUUUGCUGUCACUUAUAGAUGGAACCGCGCCGCAUUAGCUAGUUGGUAAGGUAACGGCUUACCAAGGCAACGAUGCGUAGCCGACCUGAGAGGGUGAUCGGCCACACUGGAACUGAGACACGGUCCAGACUCCUACGGGAGGCAGCAGUAGGGAAUCUUCCGCAAUGGGCGAAAGCCUGACGGAGCAACGCCGCGUGAGUGAUGAAGGUCUUCGGAUCGUAAAACUCUGUUAUUAGGGGAGAACAAAUGUGUAAGUAACUAUGCACGUCUUGACGGUACCUAAUCAGAAAGCCACGGCUAACUACGUG
rnacentral:rRNA from 1 species